AAUAGAUACCCGGGUAGUCCAUGCCGUAAACGUUGGGCACUAGGUGUGGGGCUCAUUCCACGAGUUCCGUGCCGCAGCAAACGCAUUAAGUGCCCCGCCUGGGGAGUACGGCCGCAAGGCUAAAACUCAAAGGAAUUGACGGGGGCCCGCACAAGCGGCGGAGCAUGCGGAUUAAUUCGAUGCAACGCGAAGAACCUUACCAAGGCUUGACAUGCACGGGAAGCCACCAGAGAUGGUGGUCUCUUUGGACACUCGUGCACAGGUGGUGCAUGGUUGUCGUCAGCUCGUGUCGUGAGAUGUUGGGUUAAGUCCCGCAACGAGCGCAACCCUCGUCCCAUGUUGCCAGCGGGUUAUGCCGGGGACUCAUGGGAGACUGCCGGGGUCAACUCGGAGGAAGGUGGGGAUGACGUCAAAUCAUCAUGCCCCUUAUGUCUUGGGCUUCACGCAUGCUACAAUGGCCGGUACAAAGGGCUGCGAUGCCGUAAGGUGGAGCGAAUCCCGAAAAGCCGGUCUCAGUUCGGAUUGGGGUCG
rnacentral:rRNA from 1 species